rnacentral:rRNA from 1 species
UACGUAGGGUGCGAGCGUUGUCCGGAAUUAUUGGGCGUAAAGAGCUCGUAGGCGGUCUGUCGCGUCUGUUGUGAAAACUCGAGGCUCAACCUCGGGCUUGCAGUGGAUACGGGCAGACUAGAGUGCGGUAGGGGAGACUGGAAUUCCUGGUGUAGCGGUGGAAUGCGCAGAUAUCAGGAGGAACACCGAUGGCGAAGGCAGGUCUCUGGGCCGCAACUGACGCUGAGGAGCGAAAGCAUGGGGAGCGAACAGG